CUCCUGAGGCCAGUGACGGAGAAACAGCAGUCUGAGCAAAGAGAAAACAAAUAGUAAAGCAAAAAGAAGCACCUUGGAGUUGAAACAUUCCAGAUGGAUUUGGAACAGUUCUGUGUGGAUUUUCUGCCAGAAUUUCAGAUUUCACUCCAAAUUGAGAUCUUCAGCACAGGGAAGAUUAGAACCAGUAAAGGAGUAAUUAAGGCCUCUCAUACAUACCCAAAGGUAGCAGCCACAAGAGAUUAA
rnacentral:lncRNA from 1 species